rnacentral:rRNA from 1 species
UACGGAGGGUGCAAACGUUGCUCGGAAUCAUUGGGCGUAAAGCGCACGUAGGCGGUCCGUUGUGUCGGGUGUGAAAGCCCUCGGCUUAACCGAGGAAGUGCAUUCGAAACUGGCGGACUUGAGUACCGGAGAGGGUCGCGGAAUUCCCGGUGUAGAGGUGAAAUUCGUAGAUAUCGGGAGGAACACCAGUGGCGAAGGCGGCGACCUGGACGGAUACUGACGGCUGAGGUGCGAAAGCGUGGGGAGCAAACAGGAUGAGAUACC